rnacentral:rRNA from 1 species
UACAGAGGGGGCAAGCGUUGUUCGGAAUUACUGGGCGUAAAGGCGCGUAGGCGGCCUGCUAAGUCGAACGUGAAAUCCCUGGGCUCAACCCAGGAACUGCGUCCGAUACUGGUUGGCUUGAAUCCGGGAGAGGGACGUGGAAUUCCAGGUGUAGCGGUGAAAUGCGUAGAUAUCUGGAGGAACACCGGUGGCGAAGGCGACGUCCUGGACCGGCAUUGACGCUGAGGCGCGAAAGCCAGGGGAGCAAACGGG